rnacentral:rRNA from 1 species
AUUGAACGCUGGCGGCAGGCCUAAUACAUGCAAGUCGAGCGGAUGAAGGGAGCUUGCUCCUGGAUUCAGCGGCGGACGGGUGAGUAAUGCCUAGGAAUCUGCCUGGUAGUGGGGGAUAACGUCCGGAAGCGGGCGCUAAUACCGCAUACGUCCUGAGGGAGAAAGUGGGGGAUCUUCGGACCUCACGCUAUCAGAUGAGCCUAGGUCGGAUUAGCUAGUUGGUGGGGUAAAGGCCUACCAAGGCGACGAUCCGUAACUGGUCUGAGAGGAUGAUCAGUCACACUGGAACUGAGACACGGUCCAGACUCCUACGGGAGGCAGCAGUGGGGAAUAUUGGACAAUGGGCGAAAGCCUGAUCCAGCCAUGCCGCGUGUGUGAAGAAGGUCUUCGGAUUGUAAAGCACUUUAAGUUGGGAGGAAGGGCAGUAAGUUAAUACCUUGCUGUUUUGACGUUACCAACAGAAUAAGCACCGGCUAACUUCGUG